rnacentral:rRNA from 1 species
AUGGUUCAUUCAAAUUUCUGCCCUAUCAAGUUUCGAUGGUAGGAUAGAGGCCUACCAUGCUUUGGGGGGUAACGGCGAAUUAGGGUUCGAUUCCGGAGAGGGAGCCUGAGAAACGGCUACCACAUCUAAGGAAGGCAGCAGGCGCGCAAAUUACCCAAUCCUGAUUCAGGGAGGUAGUGACAAUAAAUAACAAUCCAGGACUUCGGUCUUGGAAUGGGGAAUGAGAACAAUUUAAAUCUCUUAUCGAGGAACAAUUGGAGGGCAAGUCUGGUGCCAGCAGCCGCGGUAAUUCCAGCUCCAAAUAGCGUAUAUUAAAGUUGUUGCAGUUAAAUAGCUCGUAGUUGAAUCUUGGGGCUGGUUUGGCGGGUCGCGGU